UUGAGACUGUAGGAGAGGCAGCUGGUGGCUGAUGUUUGUCUGUUCCUUGGAUUUUUCAAGUAUCAAGGAUAACAGAAACAAAAGAAUAUUUUUUCAGAAUAUAAAUUCUAGAUAAUGAAAAUUUCACUGAAGUACUUAGCUUGCAAAACCAGAGCAUUCUGCUAACCGUAUCCUGUGGAAUUCGAGGGCAGAGAUUUCAGAACAUAAGGAGCCAUUGCAAGCUGACCGCCUAGAAGCACACCGACCCAUGCUCUGAAUUGUUAAUUUUUCAAAGGGCGUCUUUCUCCCAGACUUUGUGCUUAUUACUGGAUUGUCUCCUGACAGCCCAGAAUACUCCCCCAGACUCGCCUCCAAACUGUGUGAAAUCUAUUUUGCAUCUGCAAGAGUCUGGGCCUCCCAAGAUCAGGUUUGGGGAGUAUGGCAGAGUAUUCGUGAAACUUACUUUCUCAUAAGAUUAAAGAAACAAACCUUCAUAGACCCCAGGAAAGGGAAGAAGAAUGGAAGAGAAUAGUCCUCUAAUAAGAAUCUCCUUUCCCUAAGAGCAUCUUCAUCAUUCACGAGGUGCCAAGUACCAUGCUAAGUACUCUACCUUCAUUAUCUCACUUAAUUCUUACCAUUC
rnacentral:lncRNA from 1 species